UCUGUUUUGUUGCUCACUUCUUAUAGCCCAAUUAAGUUGAUAUUCCCUCCCUCACACAGUAGAACACGGUUCCCCUUUCUGAGCUACAUUUUACACAUUCAUCUCGAUGAUAACUACUGAUAGAUGCGAUGCAGAGGGGGUCAUGUAUGUGCAUGUAAUCCACUUGUACUGUGCUGCUGGUGUGAGUCUCCGGGCCUUGUGAUAAAUGGACUUUCAGUUGUCAUU